AUGAACGCUGGCGGCGUGCCUAAUACAUGCCAGUCGAGCGAACGGACGAGAAGCUUGCUUUUCUGAUGUUAGCGGCGGACGGGUGAGUAACACGUGGAUAACCUACCUAUAAGACUGGGAUAACUUCGGGAAACCGGAGCUAAUACCGGAUAAUAUUUUGAACCGCAUGGUUCAAAAGUGAAAGACGGUCUUGCUGUCACUUAUAGAUGGAUCCGCGCUGCAUUAGCUAGUUGGUAAGGUAACGGCUUACCAAGGCAACGAUGCAUGGCCGACCUGAGAGGGUGAUCGGCCACACUGGAACUGAGACACGGUCCAGACUCCUACGGGAGGCAGCAGUAGGGAAUCUUCCGCAAUGGGCGAAAGCCUGACGGAGCAACGCCGCGUGAGUGAUGAAGGUCUUCGGAUCGUAAAACUCUGUUAUUAGGGAAGAACAUAUGUGUAAGUAACUGUGCACAUCUUGACGGUACCUAAUCAGAAAGCCACGGCUAACUACGUG
rnacentral:rRNA from 1 species